rnacentral:rRNA from 1 species
CCCGCUGAACUUAAGCAUAUCAAUAAGCGGAGGAAAAGAAACUAACAAGGAUUCCCCUAGUAACUGCGAGUGAAGAGGGAAAAGCUCAAAUUUAAAAUCUGGCAGUCAUAUGGCUGUCCGAGUUGUAAUUUAGAGAAGUGUUAUCCGCGCUGGACCGUGUACAAGUCUCCUGGAAUGGAGCGUCAUAGAGGGUGAGAAUCCCGUCUUUGACACGGACUACCAGGGCUUUGUGAUGCGCUCUCGAAGAGUCGAGUUGUUUGGGAAUGCAGCUCAAAAUGGGUGGUAAAUUCCAUCUAAAGCUAAAUAUUGGCGAGAGACCGAUAGCGAACAAGUACCGUGAGGGAAAGAUGAAAAGAACUUUGGAAAGAGAGUUAAACAGUACGUGAAAAUUGUUGAAAAGGGAAACGCUUGAAGUCAGUCGCGUUGGCUUGAAAAUCAACCUUGCUCUUUUGCUUGGUGUACUUUCUUGUCGACGGGUCAACAUCAGUUUUGGCUGCUGGAUAAAGGUUGAGGGAAAUGUGGCAAUCCUCGGAUGUGUUAUAACCCUUGAUUGUAUACAAGUAGCUGGGACUGAGGGAACUCAGCACGCCGCAAGGCCGGGUCUUUGACCACGUACGUGCUUAGGAUGUUGGCAGAAUGGCUUUAAUCGGACCCGUCUUGAAACACGG